rnacentral:lncRNA from 1 species
CUCUCCACCCUCUGCUCUGUCCCGCACGCCCUGCAAGGAAGCCAGACCGGUUUGCAGCAGCAGAGCAGCCCGCAGUCGGACCUAACGCUCUAGUCGGUGCGUGGGAGAUUGUGCGCCCGGGCCACUGUGCAGCCAGGACUCAGAGCAGGGGUGAAGCGGCUCCCUGAGAUUAGCGGGAUCCUCCAAAGCUCCAGAGCUUCUGGGAGCUUCUCAGAGUCUCGAAGCCUCACUGCUGUGGACUGUGUUGGGGUAGGGCGUGCCGCUGCCAGUGUCCCUGGCCACCAGUCGGGCAAUGCCAGACUUGACUCCUCUUCCUUGAGGAGCCAGCACUUAAGCAAGCAGAGCCCUCCCCUAUACCCCCUUUAUCAGGAAGGGACGCGCAAAGGUUCUGAGACCACACUUGUCUCCCUUCUAAGGAUAGCAGGUGCUCUCAAGAAGGACGAUCUAUCCAACAGGUUAGGGAUGGGCUAGUGAGGGGUCCCGCGCCAUUGAGCUACAAUGGGGGCGCGCCUGCUGGAGCCACUUGGAAUCUCACUAGGUUAGUUUAGCUUCGAAGAGGGUAGGGGCUAGAUCUAAGGAUCCGUUUGGAGUUGUGCUGUUCUGAACGCUAAAAUUAAAUUUAUCUAACAGGCACAGGAAGAGAGCGACUCCCUCCCAGUUGGGUCGAAGCAAGUGGUACAGUUCAGCUUUAUCACUUCCUUCCACUUUCCCCUCCUCAGACAAAACAAAACACUUGUGGGAAAGAAAACUUGCGUUCUGUCAGAGGAAGACCAGCAUUUGAUGACCCUUGCUUGAGGACACUCCCUUGAGGCUCUACAAAGAGCACCUGCAGGCAGUUUUGAAAUCUUUUAACAACCCCACCCCCAACCCCAACUCGAGUGAAUUUGUGGUGGUUUAGUAUCACCCUGGAAUGAAGCAUAAAAAUUCCUUUAUAACAAAAAA